GACGAACGCUGGCGGCGUGCUUAACACAUGCAAGUCGAACGGAGAGGCCCCCUUGUGGGGUACUCGAGUGGCGAACGGGUGAGUAACACGUGAGUAACCUACCCUUGACUUUGGGAUAACUUCAGGAAACUGGGGCUAAUACCGGAUAGGAGCUCCUGCUGCAUGGUGGGGGUUGGAAAGUUUCGGCGGUUGGGGAUGGACUCGCGGCUUAUCAGCUUGUUGGUGGGGUAGUGGCUCACCAAGGCUUUGACGGGUAGCCGGCCUGAGAGGGUGACCGGCCACAUUGGGACUGAGAUACGGCCCAGACUCCUACGGGAGGCAGCAGUGGGGAAUAUUGCACAAUGGGCGGAAGCCUGAUGCAGCAACGCCGCGUGCGGGAUGACGGCCUUCGGGUUGUAAACCGCUUUCGCCUGUGACGAAGCGUGAGUGACGGUAAUGGGUAAAGAAGCACCGGCUAACUACGUG
rnacentral:rRNA from 1 species